ACGCUGGCGGCAGGCCUAACACAUGCAAGUCGAGCGGUAGAGAGAAGCUUGCUUCUCUUGAGAGCGGCGGACGGGUGAGUAAUGCCUAGGAAUCUGCCUGGUAGUGGGGGAUAACGUUCGGAAACGGACGCUAAUACCGCAUACGUCCUACGGGAGAAAGCAGGGGACCUUCGGGCCUUGCGCUAUCAGAUGAGCCUAGGUCGGAUUAGCUAGUUGGUGGGGUAAUGGCUCACCAAGGCGACGAUCCGUAACUGGUCUGAGAGGAUGAUCAGUCACACUGGAACUGAGACACGGUCCAGGCUCCUACGGGAGGCAGCAGUGGGGAAUAUUGGACAAUGGGCGAAAGCCUGAUCCAGCCAUGCCGCGUGUGUGAAGAAGGUCUUCGGAUUGUAAAGCACUUUAAGUUGGGAGGAAGGGCAGUUGCCUAAUACGUAACUGUUUUGACGUUACCGACAGAAUAAGCACCGGCUAACUCUGUGCCAGCAGCCGCGGUAAUACAGAGGGUGCAAGCGUUAAUCGGAAUUACUGGGCGUAAAGCGCGCGUAGGUGGUUCGCUAAGUUGGAUGUGAAAUCCCCGGGCUCAACCUGGGAACUGCAUUCAAAACUGACGAGCUAGAGUAUGGUAGAGGGUGGUGGAAUUUCCUGUGUAGCGGUGAAAUGCGUAGAUAUAGGAAGGAACACCAGUGGCGAAGGCGACCACCUGGACUGAUACUGACACUGAGGUGCGAAAGCGUGGGGAGCAAAC
rnacentral:rRNA from 1 species